ACUUUUAAAGGACAGUAGACACUCCACUAGCCUUAGGAGCUAGUUCCCCU
rnacentral:tRNA from 1 species